CUCUUGCUUAAAAUAGUUGCUGCUACACAGAACCAAAUCCUGAAACCUUUAUUCAUUAUUUAUUAUGCUAAAAGUUCAUUUAUUUCUGAAAGAUUUCUGCAUGAAGUUUUGGUGGUAGCUGAAAGUUAUGGAUAUGUUCUAGCAUCAUUAUUUAAUAUUAGAUUCUCUUGUUGGAUGUCUGGCCUGGAUUGAUCCUACCUGGCUGCAGAAAACCAGCUAAUCCUGAAGUCUUGAGGAGAAAGUGACAAAAAGUCAUCCUUUGCUGCACAGAUGGUUCAUGACAAACACAGCAGGAGCAACAGCAAAGCAUUAAUUUGUUCAGUUCAAGAGAUCUGCUAGUCUGCUGACAGUGUCACAAGAAAUAUAGCUGAACAGAUUUUGGGGACUACAUUUAAUCAUUACAUAGUCAUGAAAUACAUGGAUCCUUGGAGUGGUAGAUACACGUGUGGAAUAACUA